CGCGUGCCCGCAAAACCCAAGUGAAAAAUCCCGGGCACGCAUCCUCCUCUCCUGGGCGCCAAUUUCACCCCCAAAUCCCCACUCCCUCCCAGUGUCGCACCACAACGCCAGCCGCCUCCGUCGCCGUCGCACCACCCGGCCAGAGCGCCUCCUCUCCUAGCAUCGCGCCCCACGUCCAGCGCACCUCCUCUCCCAGCAACCAUCGCACCCCACAGCCACAGCGCCAGCCGCCGUCGUUGCACCCCACGGCCAUGCCAGCCACUACCUUCGCACCCCAUGGCCGACCCCAGCAAGAAAACCCACAGUCGCCACCCCCCUAAACUCCGACCUCUGGCCGCCGCCCCCUAAACCCACAGGCGCCGACGUCCACUAGAAUCCCGGAUCUGCUGCUGGCUGCGCCAAGCCUGAAGGCAUCCAUGGAGCUCAGAGGGCCUGAACAGGGAGGUCACGCUCCUCAGGAAUGAGUUGCGCUGUGCCAACCUGGUUCCCGGCGCCGUGCCUGCCGGAGCCGCCACUGGGGCUAGGAUUUGGAACGAGCUACUGGUGCAGCAGCUAGCAGCCGACCUGGUUAGGCACCUCGACGAGCUCGAGUACUACGAAAUCAAGUUAAAGCGGCCCCGCUAUUCAGUCAUGGUCUUUGGUCCCUGUUAAUCCGCCGAAGGGUUCUCCACUCCAGCGCCACGAGCUGGUCUUCGGCUCCAGGUCGAAGACACACUGCUAUCUUCGCCUAUUCCAGUCAACAAAACUACCGGUGUAGCUUUCAGCUUUCGACCGAAGGCUCGCCACCGCCUUCACCAACGCGGGAAGCCGGGACUGCUAGCACGCCUACAACCUUCGACCAAGAGUACUUCGCGAUCUUCGCCUGUAAUCCCUGAAACAAACAUGCAGUGACAAGAGUGCGAAGCCUCCGGCAGGCUUCGAGCUAUCCUACGAAGGGGGAGGGCGGGAGAUCAUCCCCAACAGGUAUAUCCCCUUCCCUUAAACGGUUGUAGGCCUUUCCAAUUUCUUGUUUCCGAUUUACACAUGGAAUCCAAUCAUUUCCGUUUGGUUUGGGCUUUCCAUUUGAGAAAUCCUUGGUGCAUUGAACGGUGGAUUUAUAGGAAUAGCAUUCUGAUGUCGCUGCAAUGGCAGUAUUGUGCUCUUGUACGCAGUUUGGUUGUCCAGAUUUGCUGAAUUAGUACUGUGAAAAAUUUCAUGACGCAUCAUUAGCAAUGAUACGCUUGGUCUGCCAUACUUAUUCAUUCAUUUUGGGUGUUCCUAUUGAAUCUUAGUAUGUCCUUGUAUUAUCAGUUGUCGAUACAUUUAUCCUGAUCUUAAGUGAAUAUGUGAUUUAUAUAAGUGAACAAAUAAUUUUUCAUUCAGAAACAUAUAUGGUCUAGAGAUGCAUUAAUAGACUGCAUUUUUAAGUAUUACAUUCCUCUACUAUGCCAUAUCCUUUGGUUCCAUGUGUAAAUUUGGCGAAGGAUAUACGGUGCCAUGUUCUGAUUUUUCACUCGUACCUUGUGGUUAUAUGGUUUUGUUAACAUCGGUGAUGUCUUCCAUGUUGGAGGGAAUAGACGUAAUAGUGGUGCCUGCAAAAGAUCAAGUGAAGAAAAAGCUGGAAUCUCAGGCAAGGUUGAUUCAGCAGACAAUUCUUGCUUCGUUGUCUAAAAUCACCAAAUUCCCUACAGAUUUGCAAAUAGAUGUGGAGUCUAAAGUGUUCACGUUGAUUCUAGUGAUUAUAAUGCAAAGUCCUGAAAAGAAUGAUAGUCAACAUUCAUUCCACACUUGAUUGAAUCUUUCAUUUCUAUAAGUGCACAUAUUACCUUUAUGGAUUAGUCCAUUUUCAAACGGGCAUUGCAUAUCGUCAUAAAUUGUGUGAACUAAUAAAGUAUUAAAUUACUCUGUUAAGCCUAAUGUGUUUAUUCCAUGUGUAUCAAAUAUUUGUUCAGUUUAUCUUGUGGUUAUAUAUAUUCAGCGUUUUUGUUAACUUCACUGCUGCCAUGCAGGCUGAAGAAAACAGUCAUAUUACUGGUCCCAUUAACAGCUCAAGAACAACUGAAGAAAGAGCUGGUGUCUCGGGCAAGGUUUAUUAGUAGACAAUUCAUACUUUGUUCCCUUGUCUGAAAUCAUUAAUGUGCCUACAUGUUUGCAAAGAAAUCUUGAGAAGAACAAGACAGAAUCAACUAGCAGGCCUCGAAACAUUAGUGUUACGGAUGACAAAUAGGGCAUCCAUGCUUUCUGCUCAGGAUAUAGCUUCCAUUGCUAAGUUUUUUACAGUGCACCUGUAAUUGUCACCUUUAUACAAUAUAUAGGCAGUCUGUCUCAUUUGAGAUCUUAGCUUUGAAUGUCAAUCACUGUUAGACGUAUCAUCAUCAUCAGUUCAUUUUUUGUGAAAAAAGCUACCUAUAGAGAUGCAAUUAUCUUGAAUGAUUUUAUCAUUUUUCUAGUCAGAUGGCCGUGUUUCUGAAGGCUGCUUAAUUGGCAUAAUGGCAUCAACUUCACUACUGAGUCAAUUUUGAGUCAAUUGGCAUAAUUCUGAUUGUUCCCCUUGUCAGGUCUUGGAAUCCUUAGGGUCAGUUCACCUCCAGCCUGCUGGCUAGCGCACUACCACCUCCAGUUGGCUUUGUGUGAGCAGAACCUGCAGUUGCACCGGUGUGAGCAGAACCUGCCAUGGAAGCUGAAGCAGAAUGAUGCCGCGCAGGCACGUGUACAUCCACGAUUCGCAGCAGCUGGCCUUGUGUGUAACGGUAAGGUUCUCUUUCUCUAGUUCUUGUUCCUUAUUUUCAUAUUGCUAUCUUAUAAGCUUUUGAUUUGUUGUUAAAGUGAUAUCAAUCUUGUAAUUUCUAGUGUCAAAGUAUGCAGCUAUUGUGAUUCUCAUGAUCUGUGUAUUGCCCCAUAUUCAGUCCAUCUCCAAUCUCCAUGUAAUCCCGUCCUACUUGUAUGACAACUGAAUCCUUUUGUGCUUGACAAGCCAACCUACUGUUGAUGCAUGUGUUUCUUUUUAUUUUGGGUUUUGCAAAUGAUUGUGUACACUCCUGAUACGUGUGGAAGACAAUAUAUGUAGCUUCAUUGUGGUACUUUGCUGAUAGAACCUAGAUGUGAACUACAGUGAGAUUUUGAUCAAUGUUAUGGUGUGUUGAUUACGUGAAUGGACUAA